UGUAAGCGUAUACCAAAGUUGUUGCAGUUAAAAAGCUCGUAGUUGGAUUUCGGAUGGGAUUUGCCGGUCCGUCGUUACGAUGUGCACUGGCCAGUCCUAUCUUGUUGUCGGGGACUAGCUCCUUGGAUUCACUUCCUGGGACUAGGAGCUGACGAGGUUACUUUGAGUAAAUUAGAGUGUUCAAAGCAAGCCUACGCUCUGAAUACAUUAGCAUGGAAUAACGCGAUAGGACUCUGGCUUAUCUUGUUGGUCUGUGAGACCAGAGUAAUGAUUAAGAGGGACAGUCGGGGACAUUCGUAUUUCAUUGUCAGAGGUGAAAUUCUUGGAUUUAUGAAAGACGAACUUCUGCGAAAGCAUUUGUCAAGGAUGUUUUCAUUAA
rnacentral:rRNA from 1 species